UUACACUGUAAGAUUUUCAUCAGUAAUGGGGGACAUUAAAAUUGAUGUUUACCGUCUACCUACGCAUAUGGAUCAGUAUUUAAGGUUUAACUCUCAUCAUCCACUAAGCAAAAACUGGGUGUCAUCAGGAUGGUACAACAUAGAGUGAACACCAUCCCCACAGAUACAGCAGUGAUCCUAUGUGUCAGGAGUAUCAGAACAGUUGAGAUGCCUUUUUUCUAAACACCACGUCUCUUUAGCUUUCAACCCCCCAAAAAAGCACUGCGCCAAAAAUUGGUCUACCCCAAGGAUCAAAUCACCAGAUACAAACAGAGUAAUGUAGUGAACACUGCUAAGUGCCAGAAGAAUUGCCAUGAUUUAUUCAUCGGGGAAACCAAACAAUCUCUAGCAAAGUAGAUGGCACAACACAGAAGAGCUAACUCAUCAGGCCUUGAAACUUUCAAUAAUGUUCUUAAAAACAAAAGCAUUACAAACGAAAAGCAGCACAAACCAGCACAAAUGUUUGCCAUCAAUUUUGUUUGAUUUGAAGAAGGUGGGGGGGCCACCCGCAUCCUGUAGUCAGCUAAAACUGAAGAAGUCAUUUGGAUGACUGACGAAACAUUUCUCCCCCUGAAAGCGUUACGUCCAGAUGAACAGAAUCAACUUUUUGAGAUUUCCUUACCUGGAUGAUUAAGAAUGCAUCAAGAUUUUUAUCACAUUCUUAGCUCAGUGUUAAGCAAUUUGCAAAAUUUUAUCCAUGGUGAGAGAGCUUACUGCAAAAUCAUAAACAUUUGUGUUUGACAUUAAAAAUUUGUAGAGUUCUAAAGUCAUAUUUUUAAUUCUCACAGUUUCGGCCACCUUGUGAGAUAGUGAUCAAACUCUACAUGUGCUACUAAGUAGUAUUGAAUCUAUCCCUGCAAAAACUUCCCUAGGAGGUGAUCUGAUGUGAGUCCAUCUUAAAUGUGGUGAAUCUUGUCAUAAAAUGACUGUGUAGUAUAGACGUGUGAUUGGUAGUGCCUUCUUUAAACCCAGGAUGGAAUAAUUACCAUGUCAUUUCCAAACAUUGGAGUGCUAGAGAUAAAUAUUGUUUUGCAGUCUCGCUCUGUCCC
ensembl:lncRNA